CGAGAUAAGUUGGACAGUCGAAAGGGAAACAGCCCAGACCACCAGCUAAGGUCCCAAAGUACGUGUUAAGUGGAAAAGGAUGUGGGAUUUCAAAGACAACUAGGACGUUGGCUUAGAAGCAGCCAUUCAUUGAAAGAGUGCGUAAUAGCUCACUAGUCGAGAGAUCCUGCGCCGAAAAUGUCCGGGGCUAAAACACGACACCGAAGCUGUGGAAUGUAGUAAUACAUUGGUAGAGGAGCAUUGUAAGCGGGAUGAAGCCAUACCGUAAGGAGUGGUGGACUGCUUAGAAGAGAGAAUGCCGGAAUGAGUAGCGAGAGGAAGGUGAGAAUCCUUCCGGCCGAAUAUCUAAGGUUUCCAGAGUAAAGCUGAUCUGCUCUGGGUAAGUCGGGACCUAAGGCGAGGGCGAGAGCCGUAGUCGAUGGAUAACUGGUUGAAAUUCCAGUACCACAUAAAAACAGAACUGUGGGGACACAGAAGGGAAAUGGGAGCCAGGAAUGGAAACACUGGUGCAAGCGAAGUAGCCGUAUGGGAGGCAAAUCCCUCAUGCAAGGCAAAGGCGUUACGCGGACCGAACAAAAGUAGGGAAGCCCAGGCCCCCAGCUGUCAAGAAAAGCCGCUAUUGUUUUUUAUGUGCCCGUACCGUAAACCGACACAGGUGGAUGAGGAGAGAAUCCUAAGGCCGACGGGAGAAGUGUUGUUAAGGAACUCGGCAAAAUGACUCCGUAACUUCGGGAGAAGGAGUGCCAUAGUGAUAUGGCCGCAGAGAAUUGGCCCAAGCAACUGUUUAGCAAAAACACAGGUCUAUGCAAAACCGCAAGGUGAAGUAUAUGGGCUGACGCCUGCCCGGUGCUGGAAGGUUAAGGGGAGGGCUUAGCGCAUUAGCGCGAAGGUCUGAACUUAAGCCCCAGUAAACGGCGGCCGUAACUAUAACGGUCCUAAGGUAGCGAAAUUCCUUGUCGGGUAAGUUCCGACCCGCACGAAAGGCGUAAUGAUUUGGGCACUGUCUCAACAACACACCCGGUGAAAUUGAAAUACCAGUGAAGAUGCUGGUUACCUGCGCCAGGACGGAAAGACCCCAUGGAGCUUUACUCCAGCUUGAUACUGGGAUUCGGUACUGCAUGUACAGGAUAGGUGGGAGACUGAGAAGAAAGGACGCCAGUCCUUUUAGAGUCACUGUUGGGAUACCACC
rnacentral:rRNA from 1 species